GCUCACUCCUACAACCUGAGCAUAGCAGAGAAGGGAGCAGGAGAGAGGAACCCUCCCCUGAGGCUUGGGGAAUAGGCCCAGGAUCAGAGCUCCCUUGGGCAGAGUUGGCACCAGGUCUCUAGCAGGCCUCAAUUCCAUUCUCUCAGAUCACAGGCACCACAGAGCAAGGCUCUGAGACUGGCAGCUGCAAAAUGGAUUCUGAUACUUGGAAGGCAGAGAGAGAGAGACCCUGGUUGUGGACAUUGGAUUGGGGUAGUUCUAACACCUUUGGAGGGGCCUUGGGCUCAGCAACUGCAGCUGCCUGAAAGGCUCAUGAGGACCCCAGCCCAGCCCCAGAAGCCACAUAGGUGGCCUUGGCUUAGACUACAUCUCCAUGUAUAUCUGUGUGAGGAUGUUAGAUUCCCUAGAACUGGAGUUACAGACAGUUGUGAGCUGCCAUGUGGAUCCUAGGAAUUGAACCCUGGUCCUCUGGAAGAGCAGCCAGUGCUCUUAACUGCUGAGCCAUCUCUCCAGCUAGACUACAUCUCCAAAUCCAGCAGACUUGGCUACUCAGUAAGGGUCUCACCUCCUACCGUCCCUUCAACAACCCCUCACCCCAACAGCAUAAGGUGUCUGAGCCUCCCACUCUAGUCGCUCAAUGAAUGAAUGAACAGCCUUCACUCACUCAUUAAAUCAUUCACCUCAUGUUCCUUCAUGGUUAUUAAGAGAACCACAUUUUUUUCCCUCUGUUCUGACAGGAACCCAGCUCAGCUGGCUGUGUGACUCAGUCAUGGCCUGGAGUGCCAGCAGGGGAAAUAGUCUUCAACCCUUUCAGAAGAACAGGCAGUGACCUUUCCCACCUUCUAAGGGCUGGAGAGCUGCUGUUCUUCACGCCAUCUAAAUCUGGGGCCCACAGGUCUCCAUCACUACAGGUUCUGCAGGGAGUCCACACAGGGUGUGAUGUUGAGGCUGCAGGGCAUGUGUGGGUGUGUGAGACUGUGCCAUUGUACACAAGGGCACACAUGCUCUGGCAUGCUGUCCUUAUAGACUUUAUCCUUCCUACAAGGCUUCUGGUGCUCUGGGCACAACACAAUUCCCCACCCAACAUCCUCCACACACCACCCUCUUUGGUCCCCUCCCCAAAGUCCUAUACAACUCCCCAUCUCACCCCCUUACUGAGUCAGCCUGCCAGAUCCCACCACCCACAGAUCCUGGUAUUCAUUCCUAAAUGGGACUUACUGAGAGUAAGACCUUAAGGAAAGAGAUGCUCAGAGAACUGUGGGGAUUAGCCUGGCCCCUGACCUUGAAGGUUACAACUGGAAUUGGCCAGAUAGCACUGUGCACUGGCUCUUCACACAGCUGCGUGCCUUGGAUGCAGGUCUGUGCCUGAUCACUGUAACUUCUUCACCGUGGUUUGACACUUCCCAACACCCGGCCAUUUUCAUUUUUUUAGUUGUCCAGCUGGAAUCAGGGACCACCAACACCGAAGUCUUUCUUUCUGUUAUCCCCAAGUACCAGAACCAGGCCGUAGGCCAUGCAUGGUACUGUCCCCCCACUCCCAUGUUGCCCUCAUGACCUCCAUGAGUAUCAGCAGCCAGCAUAUUCCUCCUCAGCCUUGCCCCUCCCUGCAUGAGCUCAUACUCACCUGUGUGCAGCUGCCCUCGAAGCUCUUGGGGCCUGGGAUGGCCCUGCCUAGUCAGGGUUUGGCAUCCCAGCUCUGUGGCUACCAGUGGGCAUGCAGUCCCCACCCCUAGACUGCACAGGCUGGCUUAUCUGCAUCUAGCUCCUCCUUGCUAAUUCUCUAAAUAAAUAGUAAUGGGAGCUGCUCA
rnacentral:lncRNA from 1 species